GGGAGAGAGAGAGAGAAACAGAAGUAGAAACAGACAGGAACAGAGAGCGAUAGGGGCAGAGACAGCAUGUUUCAUGAAAUUCAAAUCUAGGGAAUGACUACUAAUUGUGGGACAUGGAUGUAAUGGAAUAUUAACGUGAUAUAAAAAAUGAUGACUAUGGAGGAUACAGUGAAACAUGGGAAAACUGACACAAUGUGAUGUAGGCAGAACCUAGGAAACAAUACACAACAAAUUCAGCAAUGUAAGGGAUAAGAUCCCUUACUUAUCCCAAUAGUGGUAAAGCAGAACAUAGUGAAAAUGUUGGAAAGCAAUUGGGGCACCUAAGGCAACAGAGGAAGCAUCGAAGGGUGAGCACAGAAAAUGGACCAAUUAAUGAGAAUGCAGAUGCGUAAGGGAAGAGUGACAUGGAUGUUAAGGUCCAGGGUAAAGAAGGUUUAUGACUCCCUUAGAGUUUGAGUUCCUUGAGGACAGGGACUGCCUUUGCUUUCCUAAUGCUUAGCACAGUGCUUGGCACAUAGUAGGCACUUAAUACUGUGCCUGCCAGCUGUGUUCCUAUGACAUGGAAGGUAUGUUUGCAUAAGAGCUAAAUACAUGAAGCAUGUUCUUGCAUUCAUGUUUAGUCUUGCUGAUGAGCUCCUAUGAUGAACACAGAGUACCAAGAUAUGGUAGAUAGAUUGAUAGAUAGAUAGAUAAAUAGAUAGAUAGAUAGAUAGAUAGAUAGAUAGAUAGAUAGAUAGAUAGAUAGGUAUAAAUAGAUUUGUGGGUCAGCAAUAAGGCUGUUUGUCAGAGAUGAGGUUCUUCUGCCUUUGCUUUGACUCUUUCCCCUACUCCCCUUCCCUUCUCCUCAUCUCCGUUCCUCUUCUUUCUUUCCUCUACCACUAUUAUAUUGUAAGCCAGCAAUAAAUUGUUUGUCAAAGAAGUGAAGUGAAAAUAAAGAGAUCAAGUGAAAAAAAAGUCUCUCUUUUCCUUCUUGCCACCUUUUUUCUCCCACCUCCUUUAUCUUUCCCUUUAUGUCACCCUAAUGUUUUAUAUCCUUUUCCUUCCUGCUAUUUCACCCUUAGUUCAUUUUCAUCUUCUUCCCCUCCUUUCUUUUUUCCUCCUUUCAUUUCUCUUCCCCUCAUCCUCCUGUUCUACUCUGAUUCUUCCUACUCCUUUCCCAUCUCCUUUCCAAUUUUUCUUUUCCCCCCCUUCUUUGCCCUGACCCCAUUUCCCCACUCCCUCUUUUUUCUUCUUUCUUCCAUCAUUAUCAUACUUCCCCUCUUUUCUCUCACUGUUCUUCUUUUUCCUCCCCUCACCCCUUUCUUUCUCCUCCUUUCCUAGCUAAAAGUUCAAAGAUUUCUUCACUGAAAACUGAGACUUUUUUCUGGUUUUAGAAAUGAGCUCAUCUCACUUUGAAAGGAAUUGAUGCUGUUUAAACAGAAUAUGAGAGAGGGAGGAGAAACAAUCUACAUACAUCAGAACAUCUGUGUACAUAGAAAUAAAUGCUAUCAUGCAUAGGCACAUAAGCAGAUACCUGAAUUAUAAGUAAUAAGAAACGUUGUUCCCCUAAUAUUUUAUAGCCUACAUGCUACAAGCAUGUUAAAACAUCGCCAUGUGAAUAAGUGCUCUGGAUCUGGAGAACAAUCCUAUGGAAAAUGAAGGAGUUAAAUGAAAUGAUCACUGUGCCCCCCCAGCCCCCGACCUGGCAUCCUAUAGCUCCAUUAUUUACAUAUGAAGAAACUGUGAGGUUCUGGAAGAGAAGUGACUUGCAUAAAGUCACACUAUUAAAAAAUCUAAGAGCCAAGACUCCAACCCUGGUCUCCAGACUCCCAGUCUCAUGCUCUUUCCACUACUUCGCCUAGCCUUUGUAAAAUGUUUAUGGAAAUAAAAAGACUCAUCCAUCAGCUCUGUUUGGAUCUAGAGACCAAGUAUAAUAAAUCCUUUGGCUCAGGACCAGGCCUGCCGAGCUGAACGUGAUCGCUGCAGGCAGUAAGCUCUUUCUGUUUCUCAUGACCAAACCCUGGGGCCCCCACACCCAACCAGGAGGGACCAGGCUCUGACAACCUCCUCUUGCUGACGUGGUCUCCUCCCAAAAUAGAGCAGAGAUUGGCAGAGAUGGAAAAUACCUCAGGGAGCCUCUCUUCCAACCCCUUCGUCUUAUAUCUUACUCUCAGGCCUAGAGACCAUCUCCCCCUUAAGCUUAACCCCUUCAAAACUCUUCUUUCCCUUCUCUUUAAGAGAUUACCUCAGACCCACAUGUGCCCGACUGUUUGUGGCAGCCCUCUUUGUAGUGGCAAGAAAUGGAAACUGAGAGGAUGCCCAUCAGAUGGAGAAUGGCUGAAUAAAUUGUAGUAUAUGAAUAUUAUGGAAUAUUAUUGUUCUGUAAGAAACGAUCAGCAGGAUGAUUUCAGAGAGGCCUGGAGAGACUGACACGAACUGAUGCUGAGUGAAAUGAACAGAACCAGAUCAUUGUACACGGCAACAAUAAGAUUAUAUGACUAUCAAUUCUGGUGGCUGUGGCCCUCUGCAACAAUGAGAUGGUUCAGACCAGUUCCGAUGAUCUUGUGAUGAAGAAAGUCAUCUACACCCAGAAAGAGGCCUGUGGGAGCUGAGUGUGGUUCACAACAUAACAUUUUCAGUCUUUUUGUUGUUGUUUGGUUCAAUUUUAAUUUUUCUCAUUUUUUCCAGUUUGAUUUGAUUUUUCUUGUGCAGCAAGAUAAAUGUAUAACUGUAUACAUAUAUUGGAUUUAACAUAUAUUUCUACCACGUUAAACAUACAUUGGACUACUUGCCAUCUAGAGAAGGGUAUGGGGAAAGGGGGGGGGUGGAAUUGGAACACAAGAUUUUGCAAGGAUUAACGUCAAAGAAUUAUCCAUGCAUAUCUUUUGAAAAAUAAAAAGCUUUAAUAAAAAAUUUCAUUGUAUUAAAAAAAUUUCCCUCAAUACCUCAUAUCAUUCUUCAAGACCCAGAUGGAGACCAGCUACCCCCAGAAAGCCUUCUUUGAUUGUUCCUACCCCUCUCAUCCCUCCCUGCUCUGAUUUUCGGGGGAGUUCCCUUAAUGCUGCCUUGUAUUGUACCUAUUUAUUCUGAAGCCCUGUGAAUUUCAUCCUAUCUGCCUCUGUCUCCAGCUCAUCCUAGGCAAUUUAGAAAAUUAGUUGUUGCAAGAUUAUUUGGGGAUUGUGAUGGACUUGGCUCUUUUCAACAAAGAAGUGAUUCAGGCCAAUUUCAAUAGACCUGUGAUGGAGAAUCAUUUGCAUUUAGAAAUAGGACUGUGAUUGAGUGUGGAUCACAACAUAGUAUUUUCACUUUCUUGUUUUUGUUAUUUGCUUGCUUUUUUUCUUUCUCAUUUUUCCUCCUUUUGAUCUGAUUUAUCUCCUGCAGCAUGAUAAAUGUGCAAAUAUAUUUAGAAGAAUUGUACAUGUUUCACCUAUAUUGGAUUACUUGCUAACUAGAGGAGAGGACUGAAGAGAGAGAGAAAAUUUUGAACACAAGGUUUUGCAAGGCAUAUUCUUUGGGAAGUUGUCGCAUUAUCUCAUCAGCUCCCGGACCUAUCCCAAAUCCCUUCUCAGCAGUUCAGAGCUGUUUCUUCUAGCCAAGCCUCAGUGGAGAUGGAGAACAUCUGGCCCCAUGCUCAGUUGGAUAACCCUUUACAGCCUGGGCUGUGUGCUGAAUCAACACCUGUGACCUUGUCCUUCUUAAGAAACGUGGUCCCAAUGCUUUGGGUCUGUUUCAUGUAAACAGCUGUAUUUCUUUUUCAUCAGCUGUGGUGCUUUUACCUCAAACUGCUCCCAGUUUAUCCUGAUUCUCCCACGAUAUAAAUGAAAACACAUUCCCAAGAUUCUACAACCAGACUCCUUCCCCUCGUUGCAGAAACUUUCCUGCUCCAUGUCCUCAGAGCCUCAGAAACUUGCAGAUGCAGAGAGUCCGUCCUCCACUCAGCUGGCCAAAGUGAUCUUCCUGAAGCCUAGACCUGACUAUGACUCCCCCUUCUCAAUCAGCUCCUAAACUGACAGUAUUUAGGAAUAGAGCCAGAACCCCACAAGGUUCUUGGAUAAAAUUCUCUGACAUUUAAAGUCCUUUCUCACUUAUAUUCCUCCCAUUCUAGUCCUUUAUGUUUUCCAAACCUCCUCACAUAUUCUUUGAUCUAGGAACUCUGAUUUCCUUGCUGAUUCCUCCCCCCAAAAUAAAACAAAACUCCAUGUCCUGAUUUACUUCCUUCCUUCCUUCUUUCCCAUCCUCCCUCUUUCUUUCCCCUCUCCCUCCCUCUUUCCUUCCUUCCCUUCCUCCUUCCUUCCCUCCAUCUGUCCUUCCUUCCCUCUCUCCCUCCUUCCUUCCCUCCAUGCCUUCUUCCUUCCCCUCCUCCCUCCUUCCUUCUUUCCUUCUUCCAUUCUCUCCUUCCUUCUUUCCUUCCUUCCCUCCAUCCCUUCUUCCUUCCCUCUUUCCCUCCUUCUUUCCUUCUCUCCUCCCUGCCUCCUUCCUUUCUUCCUCCUUCUAUUCCUUUCUUCCUUCUUUCCUCCCCUCUCUCCCUCCCUUCUUCCUUCCUUCCUUCUUUUCUCCCUUCCCUCUCUCCCUCCCUUCUUCCUUCCUUCCUUCUUUUCCUCCCUCCCACCUUCCUUCCUUCCUUCCCUCUCUCCCUCUCUUCUUCCUUCCCCUCCUCCUUCCUUCUUUCACUCCCUCCCUUCCUUCUUCCUUUCUUU